rnacentral:rRNA from 1 species
AGAGAGAGACAUGCGCGCAUAUCAAUAAGCGGAGGAAAAGAAACUAACAAGGAUUCCCCUAGUAACGGCGAGUGAAGCGGGAAGAGCUCAAAUUUGAAAUCUUAAAGGGUUUCCCUUUACGAAUUGUAGUUUAAAGAAGUGUUUUCUGUUGAGGUUUUGGUAAAAGUUCUUUGGAAUAGGACAUCAUAGAGGGUGAGAAUCCCGUAUUUGACCUUUACUUUCAACUUUGUGAUACACUUUCAAAGAGUCGGAUUGUUUGGGAAUGCAGUCCAAAAUGGGUGGUAAAUUUCAUCUAAAGCUAAAUAUUGGCGAGAGACCGAUAGCGAACAAGUACCGUGAGGGAAAGAUGUAAAGAACUUUGAAAAGAGAGUUAAACAGUACGUGAAAUUGUCAAAAGGGAAGCGUUUGACACCAGUGUUGUUUUUCUGAAAAUCAAUUAAAGAACUGUUUAUGCUAAGUUGUUUAGACUUUAUCAGGCUAACUGUUUAGUUUUGAGCUUUUCUUUAAUGCACUUUUCAGUUAACAAGUUAACAUCAAUUUCUUUUGCUGUAAAAAAGCUUGAGGAAGGUGGCUUGAGAUUCGUCUUAAGUGUUUAUAGCCUCUUGCCUAUGCAGUCGGAGAGAUUGAGGUCUGCAGCGUAGAUCCUUCGGGGCUAAAUGCAUUUGUGCUAAGUUAUAGCAUUUUAUAGACAACUUGUUGACUAUGAUUUGUCUUGUAGCUUACUCGCUUAUACUUAUUUUACCUACGCUUAGGAUGUUGAGCGCAUAUCUCUCUCU